GGGCCGCUAGCUCAAUUUGGUAGAGCAACAGACUCUUAAUCUGCAGGUUCUUGGUUCGAGUCCAAGGCGGCCCA
rnacentral:tRNA from 1 species